rnacentral:rRNA from 1 species
UACGAAGGGGGCUAGCGUUGCUCGGAAUCACUGGGCGUAAAGGGUGCGUAGGCGGGUCUUUAAGUCAGGGGUGAAAUCCCAGAGCUCAACUCUGGAACUGCCUUUGAUACUGUCGAUCUGGAGUAUGGAAGAGGUGAGUGGAAUUCCGAGUGUAGAGGUGAAAUUCGUAGAUAUUCGGAGGAACACCAGUGGCGAAGGCGGCUCACUGGUCCAUUACUGACGCUGAGGUGCGAAAGCGUGGGGAGCAAACAGG